rfam:Nestor notabilis contig6998, whole genome shotgun sequence.
CAAAAAGAUUUUUUAAAAUCCACAGACAGAAAAAGAAAAUAUUCU